UUACGGCCAUAUCACGUUGAAACACAGGUUCCUGUACGAUCACCGAAGAUAAGCAGCGUCGAGCCUGGUCAGUUACCUAGACGGGUGACCACUUGGGACUAUCAGGUGUUGUAAG